rnacentral:rRNA from 1 species
UACAGAGGGGGCAAGCGUUGUUCGGAAUUAUUGGGGCGUAAAGCGCACGUAGGCGGCUUAGCAAGUUGGAUGUGAAAGCCCUCGGCUCAACCGAGGAAGUGCAUCCAAAACUGCUGAGCUUGAGUACUUAAGAGGAUCGCGGAAUUCCCGGUGUAGAGGUGAAAAUUCGUAGAUAUCGGGAGAACACCAGUGGCGAAGGCGGC